rnacentral:rRNA from 1 species
UACGUAGGGGCCGAGCGUUGUCCGGAGUUAUUGGGCGUAAAGCGCGCGCAGGCGGCCUCGCGCGCCCGACGUGAAAGCCCCCGGCUUAACCGGGGAACUGCGUCUGAUACUGGAUGGCUUGAGUUUGGGAGAGGGAUGCGGAAUUCCAGGUGUAGCGGUGAAAUGCGUAGAUAUCUGGAGGAACACCGGUGGCGAAGGCGGCAUCCUGGACCAACACUGACGCUGAGUGAGCGAAAGCCAGGGGAGCAAACGGG